ensembl:lncRNA
CGCAGACUCGGGGACGCUAGGGAUCGGAGCAUCUCCUUGUACCUUGAAAGGGAGAUGACCGGGUUACCUUACACUGACCUCUGGACAGCUGCCCAUCUGCACCGAGAGAACGCACAAGGCCGCAUUUGUUUGCUUGCAAAAUAUCUGGGUGUUUUCUACACCCGCCUACCUGUCCCCCAACACACACACACACCGGCGGGGGUGGGGGCCUGAGGGAUUAGAGGGAUAGAGUCAGGUCAAUCAGAAGAGAUUAGAGACUGGGCUGGACGUGUCCACUCUGAGGGCCUCUGAAAGUAGGCACUGCAGCUACGCUCCUGGUGCCCCGCCCUCAGGUGACUCGAGAUUGAUUUUUCUUGGUUCGUUAGUUCUGAAAGCCCGGGGCUGUAAAACGUUUGGGUCCAGAAUGAAACUCUGAUCCACGGAAGCUUUCCUUGCCCUGCACUCUCACCCCUGCUGGUGUCUGGAACUGGGCAGACUGGAGGAUUCUAAAGAGUUUGAGGUUGCGUAACCAUCCAGAAACACACGAUAAGAGUCCUCUUUCAGCAAAUAUUCUUGAUUAAGUCAUGAAAAUGGAAUUGGAGCUUAUUUUUCCCCUUUGUAUGGAGUCACCUAUUAGGUGCUACAUUUGGCAGUGUGUGGAACAAAGAAACUCCUACAGGGAGCUUAUAAUUAAGAAAGUGAUGCUCAGUCACAUUAUCCAGAGGACAACACAGGAGUAUACCCAGCUAGCAGCAAUGUGCCAUAAGAAUCUGCCUCUCUGACACAUGGAUUUCUUUUGAAGGCCCAUGCGUAUGAACACC